CAGUAGCCGCGGGAAUACGUAGGUGGCAAGCGUUGUCCGGAAUUAUUGGGCGUAAAGCGCGCGCAGGUGGUUUAAUAAGUCUGAUGUGAAAGCCCACGGCUCAACCGUGGAGGGUCAUUGGAAACUGUUAAACUUGAGUGCAGGAGAGAAGAGUGGAAUUUCUAGUGUAGCGGUGAAAUGCGUAGAGAUUAGGAGGAACACCAGUGGCGAAGGCGGCUUUUUGGCCUGUAACUGACACUGAGGCGCGAAAGCGUGGGGAGCAAACAGGACUAGAUACCCCGGUAGUCCCUGUCUCUUAUCC
rnacentral:rRNA from 1 species